UUGCUUUGACAGCACAGAUACUACUAUUGGAACAAUACAGAGAUUAGCAUGGCUUCUGUGCAAAGAUGACAUGCAAAUUCAUGAAGCAUUUCAUUAAUAA
ensembl:snRNA U6 U6 spliceosomal RNA